rnacentral:rRNA from 1 species
CGCAAGGGUGAGUAAGGCGACGGCAACAACCCCAUGAUUGGGUAUAGCCGCGGGAAACCGCGGGUAAUCCCCAGCGACGUCUCGGGAGGGCAUCCUCUCGGGACCAAAGCUCCGGCGUCGUGGGACGGACCGUCGUGCUAUUAGCUUGUUGGCGGGGUAACGGCCCACCAAGGCGAUGAUGGCUACCGGGCGUGCGAGCGUGGCCCGGCACACUGGGACUGAGACACUGCCCAG